rnacentral:rRNA from 1 species
GAUGAACGUUGGCGGCGUGCCUAAUACAUGCAAGUCGAACGAAGACUGUAGUAAUACUGUCUUAGCGGCGAACGGGUGAGUAACGCGUGGGUGACCUGCCCCGAAGUGUGGGAUAACAGUCCGAAAGGAUUGCUAAUACUGCAUAAUAUCCAAGAGAUUAGAUGCUUUUGGAUUAAAGGAGUAAUUCGCUUCGGGAGGGGCCCGCGUCCCAUCAGCUAGUUGGUAAGGUAAUGGCUUACCAAGGCGAUGACGGGUAGGGGACCUGAGAGGGUGGCCCCCCACAAUGGAACUGAAACACGGUCCAUACACCUACGGGUGGCAGCAGUAGGGAAUAUUAGUAAUGGGCGAAAGCCUGAACUAGCAACGCCGCGUGUGCGAAGAAGGCCUUCGGUCGUAAAGACACUUUUGUAGAGGAUGAGGAGGAACGGUACGUCUCAGAAUAAGUACUCGGCUAACUACGUGCCAGCAGCGCCGGUAAUAGUGUGUGUA